rnacentral:tRNA from 1 species
GGGCGGAUGGCGGAACUGGUAGACGCGCAGCCUUGAGGAGGCUGUGGGAGCAAUCCCGUGGAGGUUCAAGUCCUCUUUCGCCCA